rnacentral:rRNA from 1 species
GACGAACGCUGGCGGCGUGCUUAACACAUGCAAGUCGAACGAAGUGGCGAACGGGUUAGUAACGCGUAAUCAACCUGCUCUUCAGAGGGGGACAACAGUUGGAAACGACUGCUAAUACCGCAUACUGAAGGAGGGGCUUUCGUCUGAUUAGCUGGUUGGAGGGGUAACGGCCAAACAAGGCGAUGAACAGUAGCCGGGCUGAGAGGAUGAACGGCCACAUUGGGACUGAGACACGGCCCAGACUCCUACGGGAGGAAGCAGUGGGGAAGCUUCCGCAAUGGACGAAAGUCUGAAGGAGCAACGCCGCGUGAGUGAUGACGGCCUUCGGGUUGUAAAGCUCUGUUAAUCGGGACGCGGUACCGGAAUAGAAAGCCACGGCUAACUACGUGCCAGCAGCCGCGGUAAUAC